rnacentral:rRNA from 1 species
ACGGGGUGCAGCAGGCGCGAACACUUUACAAUGCGGGAAACCGCGAUAAGGGAACCCCGAGUGCCAGCAUCAAAUGUUGGCUGUCCAGAUGAUUAAAAAUCAUUUGUUAGCAAGGGCCGGGCAAGACCGGUGCCAGCCGCCGCGGUAACACCGGCGGCCCGAGUGGUAGCCGUUUUUAUUGGGUCUAAAGGGUCCGUAGCCGGCUUGAUAAGUCCUUUGGGAAAUCUGGCAGCUUAACUGUCAGGCUUCUAAGGGAUACUGUCAGGCUUGGGACCGGAAGAGGUAAGGGGUACUCCAGGGGUAGGAGUGAAAUCUUGUAAUCCCUGGGGGACCAUCUGUGGCGAAGGCGCCUUACCAGAACGGGUCCGACGGUGAGGGACGAAAGCUAGGGGAGCAAACCGGAUUAGAUACCCGGGUAGUCCUAGCUGUAAACGAUGCUCGCUAGGUGUCAGACACGGUGCGACCGUGUUUGGUGCCGCAGGGAAGCCGUUAAGCGAGCCACCUGGAAGUACGUCGCAAGGC